CCUCUGUCCAUUCCCCCUGCCCAGCCCCAUCUGUCUCCUCUCCAUUGCGCCAUGUGUCUGUCUUUUCUGUCUCUUUGGGUUGGUCUCUUCCCACAUCAGUGUCUGUCAGUCUGUCACUCUGCAUGUCCAUCUCUUUCUUGCUCUGUCUCUGUCUCAUUCUGCGCAUCCACUCCGGCAUCUCUGGGUCCCCACGUUGCUAUCUCCCUGGGGGUCUUUGUCUCUUUGUGCCGGGUCUUUUUGCUCUUCUCUCUCUGUGUCUCUCUCUGUCCGUCUCUGCCUCUCUGUGUCUCUGUCUUCCCUGAGAGUGUGUGUCUGUCUGUCCAUCCACUGGGUCUCAGGCAACUGAAAAUACCCCCUGCGUCCUAUUUGAUGUGCAGUUGUGAGAUUCCCUUUGAAUAUUGCAGCAGCGAGUUGACGGUUGCCAAGGGAACGGCACCAAUUUGGUCAUCAUGGGGAUUAACAGAGACGAUCCCUGCACAGCACCCAGCACGGUGUCACACGGGCCUGGCUGGCCACACACCAGCCUCUGCUGUCCAAGUUAGAGAAUGCUGUGAGCUUGGACUGGACUUGAACCAUAUGCUUCUGGAGUGGCCGUGGUUGUUUCACUAGCACUUACUCACUUGUACACCAGAGUCGUCUCUACCAGUGCAGAACUGAGUUGAAGAACAAGGCUGUCACCACCCUGAGGACUUCCAGCCCCACCCAGCCAUUGCUUCUGCGGGACCAGACUGCAGGGAGCCAGCUCUUCCCAACAAGAACCCCCAGGAGGGAAGGGUUUCUCCCUUCAGCCCCCCGCCCCUCAUCCCCCACAGGCAGCCUGAAGUCUAUCUUCUGUCCCUCCGUCUCCGGUUGCUUUGACCCCAUCUGUUCCCAUUAGUUAUCCUACCUCUUUCUAAGAGAUGCCCAGUGAGGGUGGGGCUGGGUAGUGGGGACCGUGCCACUGCUCUGUCCUGGAGCGUGCAUGUGGCUCUGUGUAGUUUCUCCUCAAGGUGGAAGCUUCUCCUCUCUUGUCAAGCCCUGGUCCCAGCAGCUCCAAGUGCCAGCUGAUGCUGCCCAGGGCGUCUGAGCUGUGUUUCUUACAGUCUGCAGGAAAUGUGGUCCUGUAGUCUCAACCACUGGGUGAGAGGGAACCAGUGUUGGAGACGAGACUGGGAGAAGGACACAGGUAGGGGUUAAGCUCUCUGUGGAGGGUGCACCUGCAGAGGGAGGUGGUGGGAGGAUAGUAUGGGCCCCAGUGUCAGGAGGGCUGCAGUGAAGAGGUGCUGUGGGCCUCGGCUGGUGGGGAGGCCUUGGAAAGGUGGAGAGAAAGGGGCUGAGCACCUCCUGGGGCUCUCUAGCAGCCUGGACCUGUGCCCCAGUGCCUGAUAAUCGAAUUAGGACUGACUGAUGCCUUUAAAGACUUCUUUUGGCAACUGGCCUUCCCUCCCCAUGAGCCUCCCAGCACUAGGUGGGAGCCGGAGUUUUAUAGAGGUGCUCUUUAGUUUUUAUAUUCUGAUGUUUUGGUAUCUUGGGGCUUUGCUGACCUUGGAGGGACCACUCCUUCCAGUUCCUAGAGAUAGGAGAUGUCUCCCUGCCAGCGUACCUUUUAUAUGCAAACCACCCAGUCCAGAGCCCACACCCAGCCAGCGCCUCUCACACUCCGGACCGCUGUCCUCCUACCCUAUACCCCCAGGGCCAGGAUCAGACACCCAGGGACAGAUCUGUGUCCCAGAGCCCCAAAAUUAUUCAAAUGAAUUAACCGUAUAUCUGCUUACCUAGCUUGCUGUUUCUUCUUGUGUAUUCUGUAAUGGAGGCUCCUGCCCACAACCCCCUCUCCCUCUGCCUCCUGCCGACCCGCUGCUUCUCAGCAUGGCCCUGCGUGGAGCACCCCACGCUGUUCCUCAGGAUCUGUGAGUAACCAGCCCUCUUUCAAAUGGCAGUCUGCUCCUUCUCUGCUGGCCUCACCACACUGAGCAUUUAAUGCAGCCUCCCAGGGUGUGUGCCAGGCCCCUCCACGUGCCCCUGCAAGCCCACUGCCUUCUUCCUCUUCUCGGGGCCCUGGAAGGCUGUCCUUGGCAAGGAUGACACCUGCAGGCUCUGGGCUUCUGGCUUCCAGGUAGCUUUGAAGACACCAGCCAGAAGCUUAAGGGCAGGGGGAGAGUGAGGUUGGGGGGAUUACCCCCCUGCCCCUCCCUGCAGGGCAUGGGCUCUCUGAGCCCACGGCUCUUCUUGGGUGCCCCGCUCCCAUAGGGGUUCUUUCUCUGGGUUCUGGGAUGUGCUUUCUCUUUUCACCCUGCAGGUCUUGUCACGGCAAGGGCUUCCUGCUGUCGCUGGCCCCAAGUGCUUCACCAUCACCAUUUCCCUGAGCCCUGACCACUCUUUGUAAAGGGUCCUGAGUGAAAUGCUCCUUCAUUGUUCCACUGGUAGGCACCCAUGGUGGAGGGGGACCCACGUGAGGAGAGGCAGGGGCAGCUCCUCAACCUGGGGACGACAGGUGCUUGCUGCCUUCUGAAGGCGGCAGGGGCCGUCUGUGGUCCUGGAACGCGGUGGCAGUCUCGGCUUAGUUCCCGGAUCCUCGUAUACCCAGGCAAACGUCACCUGCAGAAGUUUCAAGCCAGCCUGGCGUAGACUGCUCUCGCCACACGUGCGUGGAGCCUUGGAGACACCUGGGGUGCCAGCUUCUGGGCUGCAGCCCCAAGAGACAAACAACCUGCCGUCUCCCUUCCCUCUGUGUGCACAGCCUGGCUUCAUUAGUGGGGAGGUGAUGAUCUAAUUUCCUCCAAACAAAUGUUUGGGAUGUAGAGUUUUCCUUCAACAAUGAGCAGUGGCAGACGGUGAGAAAUCUGCUUGCACCUUCUGGGGCUGGGUGGGGGAGCCACCCUGACAUGCCUGCCAGGCUGGCAGGCACUGCCUACUGUGGCCUGGGGUUUCCUCACAUCCCGGCCUGGGACAUGACUGGCUAGAGCUAUAAGAAGGAUGAUGCUGGUCCAUCAGUGGUGGUGGUAUAAGGCAGGCAGACUGGCAGGAGUUCUUCCUACGACCCCUCCACCAGCUCAGAGUUGGGGAGCC